GAAACCGAGUCUUAAUUGGGCGUUAAGUUGCAGGGUAUAGACCCGAAACCCGGUGAUCUAGCCAUGGGCAGGUUGAAGGUUGGGUAACACUAACUGGAGGACCGAACCGACUAAUGUUGAAAAAUUAGCGGAUGACCUGUGGCUGGGGGUGAAAGGCCAAUCAAACCGGGAGAUAGCUGGUUCUCCCCGAAAGCUAUUUAGGUAGCGCCUCGUGAAUUCAUCUCCGGGGGUAGAGCACUGUUUCGGCUAGGGGGCCAUCCCGGCUUACCAACCCGAUGCAAACUGCGAAUACCGGAGAAUGUUAUCACGGGAGACACACGGCGGGUGCUAACGUCCGUCGUGAAGAGGGAAACAACCCAGACCGCCAGCUAAGGUCCCAAAGUCAUGGUUAAGUGGGAAACGAUGUGGGAAGGCCCAGACAGCCAGGAUGUUGGCUUAGAAGCAGCCAUCAUUUAAAGAAAGCGUAAUAGCUCACUGGUCGAGUCGGCCUGCGCGGAAGAUGUAACGGGGCUAAACCAUGCACCGAAGCUGCGGCAGCGACGCUUAUGCGUUGUUGGGUAGGGGAGCGUUCUGUAAGCCUGCGAAGGUGGCCUGUGAGGGUUGCUGGAGGUAUCAGAAGUGCGAAUGCUGACAUAAGUAACGAUAAAGCGGGUGAAAAGCCCGCUCGCCGGAAGACCAAGGGUUCCUGUCCAACGUUAAUCGGGGCAGGGUGAGUCGACCCCUAAGGCGAGGCCGAAAGGCGUAGUCGAUGGGAAACGGGUUAAUAUUCCCGUACUUGGUGUUACUGCGAAGGGGGGACGGAGAAGGCUAUGUUGGCCGGGCGACGGUUGUCCCGGUUUAAGCGUGUAGGUGUGUGUUCCAGGUAAAUCCGGUUCACUUUAACACUGAGGCGUGACGACGAGGCACUACGGUGCUGAAGCAACAAAUGCCCUGCUUCCAGGAAAAGCCUCUAAGCAUCAGGUAACAUCAAAUCGUACCCCAAACCGACACAGGUGGUCAGGUAGAGAAUACCAAGGCGCUUGAGAGAACUCGGGUGAAGGAACUAGGCAAAAUGGUGCCGUAACUUCGGGAGAAGGCACGCUGACACGUAGGUGAAGUGAUUUACUCAUGGAGCUGAAGUCAGUCGAAGAUACCAGCUGGCUGCAACUGUUUAUUAAAAACACAGCACUGUGCAAACACGAAAGUGGACGUAUACGGUGUGACGCCUGCCCGGUGCCGGAAGGUUAAUUGAUGGGGUCAGCGCAAGCGAAGCUCCUGAUCGAAGCCCCGGUAAACGGCGGCCGUAACUAUAACGGUCCUAAGGUAGCGAAAUUCCUUGUCGGGUAAGUUCCGACCUGCACGAAUGGCGUAAUGAUGGCCAGGCUGUCUCCACCCGAGACUCAGUGAAAUUGAACUCGCUGUGAAGAUGCAGUGUACCCGCGGCAAGACGGAAAGACCCCGUGAACCUUUACUAUAGCUUGACACUGAACAUUGAGCCUUGAUGUGUAGGAUAGGUGGGAGGCUUUGAAGUGUGGACGCCAGUCUGCAUGGAGCCGACCUUGAAAUACCACCCUUUAAUGUUUGAUGUUCUAACGUGGACCCGUUACCCGGGUUGCGGACAGUGUCUGGUGGGUAGUUUGACUGGGGCGGUCUCCUCCUAAAGAGUAACGGAGGAGCACGAAGGUUGGCUAAUCCUGGUCGGACAUCAGGAGGUUAGUGCAAUGGCAUAAGCCAGCUUGACUGCGAGCGUGACGGCGCGAGCAGGUGCGAAAGCAGGUCAUAGUGAUCCGGUGGUUCUGAAUGGAAGGGCCAUCGCUCAACGGAUAAAAGGUACUCCGGGGAUAACAGGCUGAUACCGCCCAAGAGUUCAUAUCGACGGCGGUGUUUGGCACCUCGAUGUCGGCUCAUCACAUCCUGGGGCUGAAGUAGGUCCCAAGGGUAUGGCUGUUCGCCAUUUAAAGUGGUACGCGAGCUGGGUUUAGAACGUCGUGAGACAGUUCGGUCCCUAUCUGCCGUGGGCGCUGGAGAACUGAGGGGGGCUGCUCCUAGUACGAGAGGACCGGAGUGGACGCAUCACUGGUGUUCGGGUUGUCAUGCCAAUGGCACUGCCCGGUAGCUAAAUGCGGAAGAGAUAAGUGCUGAAAGCAUCUAAGCACGAAACUUGCCCCGAG
rnacentral:rRNA from 3 species